AUGGAAGAAGCAAGCAUGGAGUUCCUUCUGGACGCCGUGGACAGGUUCCCCUUGCUUGAGGAAUUCGUUGACAGUGUUAAGCAGCUAGAUCCAGUUCCUCUGGCGCGGAUGCAAGUGAACGAGCCCAGCUACGCGGGUAGCACGGUCUCAAAAGAUGAUUCUGGGUGUGGCCAACAUAUCGGCGAAGUUGAGGUGAGCGGAAGGCAUCCUGCGGCUCGCCGUCGUACAGCCACAUCUCCAACUCGGUCUGCGCAGUCCACUGACAGAUUGAACCCAGAAGCACCCAGGUGGACAAAAAGGGGAAGCCAGAAGCAGAAAAUAGUAGAUCCUGCAGGUGCGAGUGUAAAGCUUUGA
rnacentral:rRNA from 1 species